CAGCCCAGACUCCUACGGGAGGCAGCAGUGGGGAAUAUUGCACAAUGGGGGAAACCCUGAUGCAGCAACGCCGCGUGAGUGAUGACGGCCUUCGGGUUGUAAAGCUCUGUCUUCAGGGACGAUAAUGACGGUACCUGAGGAGGAAGCCACGGCUAAAUACGUGCCAGCAGCCGCGGUAAUACGUAUGUCCCGAGCGUUAUCCGGAUUUAUUGGGCGUAAAGCGAGCGCAGACGGUUGAUUAAGUCUGAUGUGAAAGCCCGGAGCUCAACUCCGGAAAGGCAUUGGAAACUGGUCAACUUGAGUGCAGUAGAGGUAAGUGGAACUCCAUGUGUAGCGGUGGAAUGCGUAGAUAUAUGGAAGAACACCAGCGGCGCAAGGCGGCUUACUGGACUGUAACUGACGUUGAGGCUCGAAAGUGUGGGUAGCAAACAGGAUUAGAUACCCUGGUAGUCCACACCGUAAACGAUGAACACUAGGUGUUAGGAGGUUUCCGCC
rnacentral:rRNA from 1 species